GUAGCAUUGAUAAUUGACGAUCCUCUAAAUGGAAAGAAGACAGUUCGGUGUUGUGUCGGUGGUAAAGUGGCCAGUAACCCGAUUGGGAUAUAAGCUAAGAAAACGUUUAAAAGAUUUGAGUUGGACAGUUAACGUUAUAUGAUGAACAAUAACGCAAAAAUAACGAGAGACGCAGAGAUGAACAUCUGAACUAACAAGCUAACUUUAACAUCAAGCUCCAAGAGUCAUUUGAAGAAUGCAGGUCAGAUGGACUCGAGGCACAUUAUAUCCAACCUGUGGAAGAUGGCGAGAGCAGCACAAUGCACCAACAGUGAGUGAGAAGGACUGCCACUGUAUUGAGGCCAUGAGCUGAGAGGACUUUUCAUCUUUGUAGCUUUUUAAUGGGUGGAGCUGGCCUUGAUGGCUUUAAGUUGUUUAGAUAAUUUUAUGGCUCUUUUUGUUACCUAAUUAAGUUGGAAAUUGGCCUAUUUCAGCGGAGCAUUAAUUGUGUGUUUUGUUUCAGUGGACUCUGAGGCUCUUACAAAUUUCAGUGCGCAGGGUUUAAAUUGGGUGUUUGUCCCAUUUUCAAUUGCUGUAUUUUGUCCUUGCACUCUACACCAAUUUCACUAUGGAUUACAAUAGUUUAGAAUGGUAGGUAGGUGUCAGAGGUUUAUCUGUGGCAUAGAAAAUCUUCCUUCCUUUGUCUCUGAAAGCUUCCAAAAUGAAAUGGCCC